CGUAGGUGGCAAGCGUUGUCCGGAUUUAUUGGGUUUAAAGGGUGCGUAGGCGGUUUCCUAAGUCAGUUGUGAAAUACGGCAGCUUAACUGUCGAGGUGCAAUUGAUACUGGGAAACUUGAGUACUGAUGAGGUAUGCGGAAUGGACGGUGUAGCGGUGAAAUGCUUAGAUAUCGUCCAGAACACCGAUAGCGAAGGCAGCAUACUAAGGAGUAACUGACGCUGAGGCACGAAAGUGUGGGGAUCAAACAGGAUUAGAUACCCUGGUAGUCCACACUGUAAACGAUGAUCACUCGAUGUUGGCGAUACACAGCCAGCGUCUUAGCAAAAGCGAUAAGUGAUCCACCUGGGGAGUACGCCGGCAACGGUG
rnacentral:rRNA from 1 species